rnacentral:rRNA from 1 species
UACGAAGGGGGGCUAGCGUUGUUCGGAAUCACUGGGCGUAAAGCGCACGUAGGCGGAUGUGCCAGUCAGGGGUGAAAUCCCGGAGCUCAACUCCGGAACUGCCUCUGAUACAGCACGUCUUGAGUUCGAGAGAGGUGGGUGGAAUUCCUAGUGUAGAGGUGAAAUUCGUAGAUAUUAGGAAGAACACCGGUGGCGAAGGCGGCCCACUGGCUCGAUACUGACGCUGAGGUGCGAAAGCGUGGGGAGCAAACAGG